AGCGAACGCUGGCGGCGUACUUAACACAUGCAAGUCGAACGAGGAGCUUCGGUGUAGCAAUACAUCGGAGCUUCGAGUGGCGCACGGGUGAGUAACACGUGGGCAACCUGCCCUCGAGUCCGGGAUACCCUCUCGAAAGGGAGGCUAAUACUGGAUACGUUCUUUGGAUCGCAAGGUCUGAAGAGGAAAGGUGGCGAAAGCUGCCGCUCUUGGAGGGGCUCGCGGCCUANCAGCUAGUUGGUGAGGUCAUGGCUCACCAAGGCGAUGACGGGUAGCUGGUCUGAGAGGACGACCAGCCACACGGGAACUGAGACACGGUCCCGACUCCUACGGGAGGCAGCAGUGGGGAAUUUUCCGCAAUGGGCGAAAGCCUGACGGAGUGACGCCGCGUGGGGGAC
rnacentral:rRNA from 1 species